UACGUAGGGUGCAAGCGUUGUCCGGAAUUAUUGGGCGUAAAGAGCUCGUAGGCGGUCUGUCGCGUCGGCUGUGAAAUCCCGGAGCUCAACUCCGGGUCUGCAGUCGAUACGGGCAAACUGGAGUACUGCAGGGGAGACUGGAAUUCCUGGUGUAGCGGUGAAAUGCGCAGAUAUCAGGAGGAACACCGGUGGCGAAGGCGGGUCUCUGGGCCAAAACUGACGCUGAGGAGCGAAAGCGUGGGGAGCGAACAGG
rnacentral:rRNA from 1 species